CCUCGCGUGGUACACCGUGGCGAGGAGGCGACGUGCUCGGCGACGAGUUCUUCGCCGACUUCGCCAACUCCGCCCGCGUGGCCGACAACGAGAGCCGCCGCUUCGCCUUGCUGAGCUCGGAUUCAGUUUUCCCAGUUUCACAGGACAAACUUGCACUAUGGAAUGCUGAUCAAUCCAGAUCUGCCAUCAUUAAUCCCAGGUGGAUCAUGUAUUAGUGCUGCUGUUGCAACGGAUCCCCACAGCAUCGCUGAGAGAAGCCGUCGUCUUCGACUGUUGCUGUUACUGAUUUGGAUCGUGGCAAAGCGUCGCGAGUUAGAACCCUCCCAGACGAGCCAGAGCUAGAGGAGCACCUACUACAGGUAGUUGUAUUUUUUUUUGUUUGAGUUCAUGUACAUACAGAUAUUUAACUCGCCAGUGCGAGUAGUUUUCUACCCUGGAUAUUACGUAUGUAUAUGGAGCUUGUUUAUUUAUCUACUUUAGUUCUAGCUGCUCUAUACUACUGUUUGUAGUAUUGUAUGAUUACAGGUACAUCUACUGUUUCGCUUCGUAUACCGGAAAAAUUUCUAUGUAUACGGCGGUUCUGUUAGUGAGCCCGGAAAAACAAGUAAUCCGGGGCGUGACACUA